UGAACGCUGGCGGCAUGCCUUACACAUGCAAGUCGAACGGUAACGCGGGGCAACCUGGCGACGAGUGGCGAACGGGUGAGUAAAGCAUCGGAACGUGCCCAAUCGUGGGGGAUAACGUACAGAAAUUUACGCUAAUACCGCAUGAGAUCUAAGGAUGAAAGCAGGGGAUCGCAAGACCUUGCGCGAUUGGAGCGGCUGAUGUCAGAUUAGUAGUUGGUGGGGUAAAGGCCUACCAAGCCGACGAUCUGUAGCUGGUUUGAGAGAACGACCAGCCACACUGGGACUGAGACACGGCCCACACUCCUACGGGAGGCAGCAGUGGGGAAUUUUGGACAAUGGGCGCAAGCCUGAUCCAGCAAUGCCGCGUGCAGGAAGAAGGCCUUCGGGUUGUAAACUGCUUUUGUACGGAACGAAACGGUCCUGGUUAAUACCCGGGGCUAAUGACGGUACCGUAAGAAUAAGCACCGGCUAACUACGUGCCAGCAGCCGCGGUAAUACGUAGGGUGCGAGCGUUAAUCGGAAUUACUGGGCGUAAAGCGUGCGCAGGCGGUUAUGUAAGACAGUUGUGAAAUCCCCGGGCUCAACCUGGGAAUUGCAUCUGUGACUGCAUAGCUAGAGUGCGGCAGAGGGGGAUGGAAUUCCGCGUGUAGCAGUGAAAUGCGUAGAUAUGCGGAGGAACACCGAUGGCGAAGGCAAUCCCCUGGGCCUGCACUGACGCUCAUGCACGAAAGCGUGGGGAGCAAACAGGAUUAGAUACCCUGGUAGUCCACGCCCUAAACGAUGUCAACUGGUUGUUGGGUGCAUUAGUACUCAGUAACGAAGCUAACGCGUGAAG
rnacentral:rRNA from 1 species